rnacentral:rRNA from 1 species
AGCGAACGCUGGCGGCAGGCCUAACACAUGCAAGCCGAACGAACCUUUCGGGGUUAGUGGCGGACGGGUGAGUAACACGUGGGAACGUGCCUUUAGGUUCGGAAUAACUCAGGGAAACUUGUGCUAAUACCGAAUGUGCCCUUCGGGGGAAAGAUUUAUCGCCUUUAGAGCGGCCCGCGUCUGAUUAGCUAGUUGGUUGAGGUAAUGGCUCACCAAGGCGACGAUCAGUAGCUGGUCUGAGAGGAUGAUCAGCCACAUUGGGACUGAGACACGGCCCAAACUCCUACGGGAAGCAGCAGUGGGGAAUCUUGCGCAAUGGGCGAAAGCCUGACGCAGCCAUGCCGCGUGAAUGAUGAAGGUCUUAGGAUUGUAAAAUUCUUUCACCGGGGACGAUAAUGACGGUACCCGGAGAAGAAGCCCCGGCUAACUUCGUG